rnacentral:rRNA from 1 species
CACUGUCACUCCUACGGGAGGCAGCAGUGGGGGAAUAUUGGACAAUGGGGGGCAACCCUGAUCCAGCAAAUGCCGCGUGUGUGAAGAAGGCCUGCGGGGUUGUAAAGCACUUUGAGUGGAAAGAAAGGGUUUCAGGGUUAAUACCCUGGGACAUUGACGUUACCCCACAGAACAAGCACCGGCUAACUCCGUGCCAGCAGCCGCGGUAAUACGGAGGGUGCGAGCGUUAAUCGGAAUUACUGGGCGUAAAGCGCGCGUAGGCGGUUUGUUAAGUUUGAUGUGAAAGCCCUGGGCUUAACCUGGGAACGGCAUUGGAUACUGGCAAGCUGGAGUGUGGUAGAGGGUGUGGAAUUUCCGGUGUAGCAGUGAAAUGCGUAGAGAUCGGAAGGAACACCAGUGGCGAAGGCGGCACCCUCGGACCAACACUGACGCUGAGGUGACGAAAGCGUGGGGAGCAAACAGGAUUAGAUACCCUGGUAG